UCUGAAAGUCAAUUCUUAUAACUCAGCCCUCCAAACAGAUGCAUUAAAUGAUCUUCGACAUAAACAGCGAAUAACUUGCAUGUGUAUGCGCUGAUCAGUUCUGUACUGUCUGCACGCGCAGUGUCGGAUUUCAGCCGCGCGAGUCGUGCGCGAGUAAUUAGAAUGCGCCUGAACGCAGCAUUUUAAACUUCAACCGUUACGGACGUCCGUUUGAGCUCAGCGCUCGAGAGGACGACGAUUAAAUUGAAUCAAAAAGAAGAAAUGUGGUUUACGGUGCUGUCCGGGCCUGCGCUAUUCUCCGCCAGGAGAAAACGCACAAGAAAACGAUGUUUCAGGAGCAGUCAAAUCACGUGAUCACUGUACACCCAGACUAUUAUAAACAUGAAUUCAAGAGAAACCACGAAGAACAAAGAGAGGAGGUGAUGAAGAUGCUGCUUCUGUGGAUAUAGCUGUGAGUAUUUGGUGUUUGCAGUUAUAGCACACUUUUUUUCUGAAUUAAUUGAAGGCCUUAUUUAUGCUAAACACUGUAUUUGGUUCUUGAAGAUGCAUUAUGAAAUGAAGAUGAAGAAAAGACCUUCAACUGCAAACCAAUGACACAAAAAUGUACAUUAUUUUUACUCACAGUACCAACUUUGGGAAACCUGUAAAUCUGCUAAUCUGAAGUGGCUUAUAUUUGUUUUCUAUUUUCCAUGUUUAAUGCAAUAAUUAAUAAUAAUAAAUUAAUAUUUCUGUUUGCACUCUCACUGCAGGGAUGGACUCUGGAGUGCAGCAUUACUUCAAUAAGAUGAAAAUAACACACCUGUAUGAUUCAAGAUGUCAAGCCCCUGAACGCAAAGAGAGUCUGCAUCAAAAUGGACGUGAACCUGACUGAAAACACAGAGAUGUCAAAAGUAUCUGUUGGCUGUCUACUUUUUGUUCAAUAUGGAGCAUCCAAAUGCCAGUUUCUUUCAUUCAGCACUAUUUAGCCCUUCUCAGUACUGAAUUUGCCGCCAUGGGUCAUUUGUUUUUAUUGUUUAAAUGCUUAUCUGAAUGUUAAAUUAUCAUUUAACGCUCAUGAAUUAAAAAAAAAAAAAAUUCUACUAGCUAGUCUUUUAGUUCAUUUUUUUAGAAACAUUUAUUUAUGUUAACUCUUCUAACUAUUGCUCUAUGAAUUGCAGUGUUUUAUAUUGCUUGUGUCAUUGUAAAUGCUAAUAAAAAUGUCUUAAAUGAUUACA